GGGUCAGUAGGUUGGUCGUGCCACCGGUACGUACUGGUCUCACUGAUUCCUCCUUCCUGAAGAACCGUAAUGCCAUUAAUUUGGUGUUGCGGGGAAACAGGACUGUUACUUUGAAAAGAUUAGAGUGUUUAAAGCAAGCUAACGCUUGAAUACAUUAGCAUGGAAUAAUGAAAUAGGACGAUCGAUCCCAUUUUGUUGGUUUCUAGGAUUGACGUA
rnacentral:rRNA from 1 species